rnacentral:rRNA from 1 species
GGGGGGCGCUACCAUGCAGUCGAACGGUAACAGGAAGCAGCUUGCUGCUUUGCUGACGAGUGGCGGACGGGUGAGUAAUGUCUGGGAAACUGCCUGAUGGAGGGGGAUAACUACUGGAAACGGUAGCUAAUACCGCAUAACGUCGCAAGACCAAAGAGGGGGACCUUAGGGCCUCUUGCCAUCGGAUGUGCCCAGAUGGGAUUAGCUAGUAGGUGGGGUAACGGCUCACCUAGGCGACGAUCCCUAGCUGGUCUGAGAGGAUGACCAGCCACACUGGAACUGAGACACGGUCCAGACUCCUACGGGAGGCAGCAGUGGGGAAUAUUGCACAAUGGGCGCAAGCCUGAUGCAGCCAUGCCGCGUGUAUGAAGAAGGCCUUCGGGUUGUAAAGUACUUUCAGCGGGGAGGAAGGGAGUAAAGUUAAUACCUUUGCUCAUUGACGUUACCCGCAGAAGAAGCACCGGCUAACUCCGUGCCAGCAGCCGCGGUAAUACGGAGGGUGCAAGCGUUAAUCGGAAUUACUGGGCGUAAAGCGCACGCAGGCGGUUUGUUAAGUCAGAUGUGAAAUCCCCGGGCUCAACCUGGGAACUGCAUCUGAUA